GUGCCAGCAGCCGCGGUAAUACGGAGGGUGCAAGCGUUGUCCGGAUUUAUUGGGUUUAAAGGGUGCGUAGGCGGUUUUAUAAGUCAGUGGUGAAAGACGGCAGCUCAACUGUCGCAGUGCCAUUGAUACUGUAGAACUUGAGUAUAGUUGAGGUAGGCGGAAUUUAUGGUGUAGCGGUGAAAUGCAUAGAUACCAUAAGGAACCCCGAUAGCGUAGGCAGCUUACUAAACUAUAACUGACGCUGAGGCACGAAAGCAUGGGUAGCGAACAGGAUUAGAUACCCCAGUAGUCC
rnacentral:rRNA from 1 species